rnacentral:rRNA from 1 species
UUGGAGGGCAAGUCUGGUGCCAGCAGCCGCGGUAAUUCCAGCUCCAAUAGCGUAUAUUAAAGUUGUUGCAGUUAAAGAGCUCGUAGUUGAAUUUCGGGAUCAGAUUGUCGGUCGUGCCUCGGUACGCACUGGCAUUAUUGGUUCCUACCUUCUGAAGAACCGCGAUGUCAUUAAUUGGGUGUCGUGGGGAAUCAGGACUGUUACUUUGAAAAAAUUAGAGUGUUUAAAGCAGGCUUACGCUUGAAUACAUUAGCAUGGAAUAAUGAAAUAGGACGUUUGAUUCUAUUUUGUUGGUUUCUAGGAUUGACGUAAUGAUUAAUAGGGAUAGUUGGGGCAUUAGUAUUUAAUUGUCAGAGGUGAAAUUCUUGGAUUUAUUGAAGACUAACUACUGCGAAAGCAUUUGCCAAGGAUGUUUUCAUUAAUCAAGAACGAAAGUUAGGGGAUCGAAGACGAUCAGAUACCGUCGUGGUCUUAACCAUAAACUAUGCCGACUAGGGAUCGGAGGAUGUUAAUUUUUUAAUGACUCAUUCGGCGCCUUACGGGAAACCAAAGUGUUUGGGUUC